rnacentral:rRNA from 1 species
GUGGGGAAUUUUGGACAAUGGGCGAAAGCCUGAUCCAGCAAUGCCGCGUGCAGGAUGAAGGCCCUCGGGUUGUAAACUGCUUUUGUACGGAACGAAAAGCUCUGGGCUAAUACCCCGGAGUCAUGACGGUACCGUAAGAAUAAGCACCGGCUAACUACGUGCCAGCAGCCGCGGUAAUACGUAGGGUGCAAGCGUUAAUCGGAAUUACUGGGCGUAAAGCGUGCGCAGGCGGUUUUCUAAGACAGUGGUGAAAUCCCCGGGCUCAACCUGGGAACUGCCAUUGUGACUGCAAAGCUAGAGUGCGGCAGAGGGGGAUGGAAUUCCGCGUGUAGCAGUGAAAUGCGUAGAUAUGCGGAGGAACACCGAUGGCGAAGGCAAUCCCCUGGGCCUGCACUGACGCUCAUGCACGAAAGCGUGGGGAGCAAACAGGAUUAGAUACCCGGGUAGUCC